UGGUCAAGUUAUUAAGGGUGCAGGGCGGAUGCCUUGGCACUAGGAGCCGAUGAAGGACGUGAUAAGCUGCGAUAAGCUUCGGGGAGUUGCACGUAAACUUUGAUCCGAAGAUUUCCGAAUGAGGAAACUCACUUAGAGUAAUGUCUAAGUAUCAUUAAGUGAAUACAUAGCUUAAUGAGGGGAACUCAGGGAACUGAAACAUCUAAGUACCUGAAGGAAGAGAAAGAAAUUCGAUUCCGUAAGUAGCGGCGAGCGAACGCGGAUUAGCCCAAACCAAUAAAGUUUUCUUUAUUGGGGUUGCGGACAUAUCAUAACGAAGAGAUAUCGUAAUUGAAGAGGUUUGGAAAGACCCACCACAGAAGGUAAUAGUCCUGUAUGUUAAACGAGAAGACUUU
rnacentral:rRNA from 1 species